UCAGGUAAGUGACAUUCAUUCCACUACUAUUUCACGUAGCACUAGAUGUUAGCAUUAUUUAGCAUCGAGUGGGCACUAACUUUAGGCUACGUUAGCGUCAUAUCGCCUCAAAUAAGUUAAUGUCGAAAAUGAUGACCGAAUGGCAGAAGCACACACAUACAUUUAGUUAACUUGAAUAAAGUUAACGUUAGUGAAAACCAUUGUGCUCCCGUUAUGAGUUAGCUUAACGUUGGUCAUACUAGCCAGGUGUGAGUCAAUGAACAGACAGCUCUAAAGUUAACGUUAGUUCACAAACAUACUGGGGCAACAAAGCAUGUUCUCGUCAAAAAACCUUUUGUAAAUACGCUCUGUGGGAAUGCUUAGUCCAUUGACAAUUUAUACAGUCUUUGGGUUGUCACGUUUAAGAUAAAAAAAACUUCAGCCGAAGCAUUAAAAGGCUUGUUGUCGGCUAGCUGAGGCAAAAUUGUGAACCGCUAUGAACCAUUGACCGUAUACUUUGAACAUGGAGCUGUGAUAACAAGCGAUAGUUAUAACUGACGUUUGAAACUCUUAUUGAUGCCAUUUAUUUGUUAAACACAAAUUUGAACGAACACUUCUUGUCUAU